GACCUAUGUAGCAACCUUGCGAAGAGACGAACUACGGUACUGGCUGUACGCUAUAUUAAACGUAGUGCAGACCGCUACUGUUGGGUCAAGUAGCUCCUCAGUUGGCAUCACGAGGCUGAGUGCACCCCAAAAAAUGGCAACAGUGCAUGGCAGUCCAGAUGGUUACCCAUCCAAAUGCCGGCCACACCCGACAGCGCUUAACUUCGGUGAUCUGACAGGAACCGGCUUAUCCACUGCAGCAAAUCCAUUGCCAUCACUAUCUACAAGGAAAUACCCUGGGAGCUAUGGCUACACUUAAAAAAUCAUCAAGACCAUCAGCAAUAUGAAGAACAACCGGACACCACCCUCCAAUUCAGUGCACACCAGACACCUUCUUUUACCAGCCUUCAAUUACUCAAACCACAGAAACCUGCAAUUUCAUGAACAUGUGUGUUACUGCAUGUUCUACUUUUCAAAUUGAUAAACACUGUGCAUGCCUGCAAGACUUUAUCUUACAGUGGAAUGCGAGCGAAACCCUUGGAGGGUGUGUAACAUGUGAUAAGCUGUCUAGACCAUGUAUAUUCUCAAAUUCAUGAUUUUAUCCUUUUUCAAUCAUAUUUGAAAUGUCUUAACGUCUGACUGUAUAGCAGUAUAUGUUGUGUUAACACAGUUAACCCCUGUAAUUUGGAAUAAAAUUUCACAAUAUUACUGUACUAUAAAAAAGCUAUUUUUGCUUAUGUAAAUAUAUG